rnacentral:rRNA from 1 species
UACGAAGGGUGCAAACGUUGCUCGGAAUUAUUGGGCGUAAAGCGCACGUAGGCGGUAUUGCAAGUCCCAUGUGAAAGCCCUGGGCUUAACCUAGGAAGUGCAUUCGAAACUGCUGGGCUUGAGCUCUGGAGAGGAAGGCGGAAUUCUCGGUGUAGAGGUGAAAUUCGUAGAUAUCGAGAGGAACACCGGUGGCGAAGGCGGCCUUCUGGACAGUAUCUGACGCUGAGACGCGAAAGCGUGGGGAGCAAACAGG